GUACAAGCUAUCCGAGAACAAUAUGGCUGUGAAGGCUCUUCUCCUAUUAAUCAUGCUCUUGGUGUCGGGAGGCCCUGUCAGCCCCACGGCCUUCGCUGCAAGAGCGGCAAACAAGCGGCCACGUGCAGAAGAUACGCCGCGGCGUAAUGUCCUCGGAGGCGGUCGCAGAGUUGACCCCGGACGGGCAGGUUGCUGCAAUGUGUCUCCCCCUGUUAUUCCGCCACCAUGCGUUUCUUGCAAUGACAGGAAACCCUAGAUUUCCCAGCUACCUCCUGCUCCCUUUCAAAAAGGAAACCGUACGUAGAUUUCUCAAAAGGCGCAAGGAAGCACAGCAAUUGUCUUCAUCUUUCUGUCCUUAUAUUUUACCAUUUACUACUGAAUGCAGACAUGAAAAAUGAAGCCCAAAGCCUUGUAAUAACCUGGAUUUAAAUAAAUAAUUUAUCAGAUUAUAAA